AAAGUUUACUGGCAGCAGAGAUACCAUAAUAUGGAAGGUAUUUUUCCCAAGGCAAGAUUUAGCCAUAGCACCUAGCAAGAACUGACCUCUGCAAUUUCUGAAAAUUUGGAAAACUUGAUUGAAUAAGUUAUGGUAAUGAAAGACUAUUCAUAUGAGCUCUCC
rnacentral:snRNA from 1 species